GGAGGAAAAGAAACUAACAAGGAUUCCCCUAGUAACGGCGAGUGAAGCGGGAACAGCUCAACUUUAAAAUCUGGCCCUUUCAGGGUCCGAGUUGUAGUCUCGAGAAGCCACGUCCGCGCCGGACCUUGGACAAGUCGGUUGGAAAACCGCGUCAACGAGGGUGACAAUCCCGUUUAUGCCAAGGACGCCCGUGUGCAUUGUGAUGGGCUUUCAAAGAGUCGAGUUGUUUGGGAAUGCAGCUCUAAUCGGGUGGUAAAUUCCAUCUAAAGCUAAAUAUUGGCGAGAGACCGAUAGCGAACAAGUACCGUGAGGGAAAGAUGAAAAGCACUUUGGAAAGAGAAUGAAACAGUAUGUGAAAUUGCUGGAAGGGAAACGAUUGAGGUUAGACUUGCUGGCGCGGCACUCAGCCCUCACGGGUGUAUUUGCCGCGCAUUGGCAGGCCAGCAUCGGUUUGCAGUCGGGUAAAAGGGUGCGGGGAACGUAGCAACCUCGCGUUGUGUUAUAGACCCGCACUGGAUGCCCGAUCGCAGACCGAGGUCAGCAGGGCGCCGCAAGGCAAUGCCUUUUGGCAUCGAGCCCUUAGGAUGCUGGUAGAAUAGCCUUAACCGACCCGUCUUGAAACACG
rnacentral:rRNA from 1 species